UAGGAAACAUGGGAAAUUAUGAAACGAUUAUAUGUUAGCGGUGCAGCAAAAAUAUGGCAAAAACUUUUAUUGCCACCCUCCCAACAUUGUCUGCCAACAAUGUUAGCAAUAGUAGUGUAGCGGCUGUGGCUAGUACUACUAAUGUGAAUAGCCUAGUAGCUGCAGCUAUUCCUGAAGACGAUUUGACAUUGGACAGGCCAUGAAGAAAACACUAUGGACAAUCAUCAAGAACGGACACCACCAGAGACAACACAUUAAAGAGGGAGAGAGAAAAUUAACAGACCCAGGACAUUAAAGAGGGAGAGAGAAAAUGAACAGAAUCAGGACAUUAAAGGAGAGAGAUAAAGCAACAGAACCAGAACCAGGACAUUAAUGAGGGAGAGAGAGAGAAAUAAAUAAGCACAACCAGAACAGGACAUUAAAGAGGGAGAAAAAUCUACAAGAGAGCAAGGAUAUUUCUGAGAGUGAAGACAAUCAAGAUGAAGGCCAUGAAAAAGAAGAGGAGGAAGAUAUAAAUUAGAAUACCUUCAAGAACUGGAAAAACCCAUUGUACCAUGGAGCAACAGUGUCCAUUGGACAGGACGUUCUCUUAAUCAUGGCAUAUGUUGCUACAACUUGCCCAAGAUGCUCUACACAUCUGCAACAAAUGCUUGUUUUUCUUUUACCAGAAGAUUCUUUGCUACCCCCAACUAAUUAUAUUUUUAAGAAGUUCUUCUCUCACAGAACAUUUGUUGUAAACCAUUACUGCCCUGAUUGUCUUCAUAUUUUGGUCAAUAAUGUAUGUGCAGGAUGUUGUGUUACAUGGUGCCCAAGUGGAAGUUUCUUUUACACUACCCCUCAUCCCCCAACUGAGGCAUGUGCUAGAAAAAAUGAAACUAGGAGAACACCUACGUUAC